rnacentral:rRNA from 1 species
UGCCAGCCGCCGCGGUAACACGGGGGGCGCAAGCGUUAUUCGGAAUUAUGUGGGCGUAAAGGGCGCGCAGGCGGUCUUGUCCGUCAGGUGUGAAAGCUCGGGGCCCAACUCCGAAACUGCGCCUGAAACUGUUGAUCUAGAAUCUUGGAGAGGGAAGGGGAAUUUCGCAUGUAGGAGUAAAAUCCGUAGAGAUGCGAAGGAACACCAGAGGCGAAGGCGCCUUCCUGGACAAGAAUUGACGCUGAGGCGCGAAAGCGUGGGGAGCAAACAGGAUUAGAUA